AGAGUUUGAUCCUGGCUCAGAAUCAACGCUGGCGGCGUGCCUAACACAUGCAAGUCGAACGCGAAAGCCCCUUCGGGGGUUAGUAGAGUGGCGUCCGGGUGAGUAACACGUGGGUAAUCUGCCUUCGGGUGGGGAAUAACCCAGGGAAACUUGGGCUAAUACCGCAUAAUGCAGCGACACCUAAUGGUGAUUAGUUGUUAAAGCGGGGGAUCGCAAGACCUCGCGCCUGAAGAGGAGCCCGCGGCAGAUUAGCUAGUUGGUGAGGUAAUGGCUCACCAAGGCUUCGAUCUGUAGCUGGUCUGAGAGGACGGCCAGCCACACUGGCACUGACACACGGGCCAGACUCCUACGGGAGGCAGCAGUGGGGAAUUUUGGGCAAUGGGCGAAAGCCUGACCCAGCAACGCCGCGUGAGGGAGGAAAUCCUUCGGGAUGUAAACCUCACAAGCAAGGGAAGAGAGCUGCGGGCUGAAUAAUCCCGUAGUGCGACGGUACCUUGCGUAAGCCACGGCUAACUACGUGCCAGCAGCCGCGGUAAUACGUAGGUGGCAAGCGUUGUUCGGAAUUAUUGGGCGUAAAGGGCGCGUAGGCGGUUUGUUAAGUCGGCUGUGAAAGCCCGGGGCUCAACCCCGGAGGGUCAGCCGAUACUGGCAGACUAGAGUACGGAAGAGGUAGCUGGAAUUCCCGGUGUAGCGGUGAAAUGCGUAGAUAUCGGGAGGAACACCUGAGGCGAAAGCGGGCUACUGGGCCGAUACUGACGCUGAUGCGCGAAAGCCAGGGGAGCGAACGGGAUUAGAUACCCCGGUAGUCC
rnacentral:rRNA from 1 species